CCAUCUGCAUGGACUCUGCUGGAUCGCCAUCACAUCCCUGUUUAGGCUGGUGGCAAUGGGAGUAAGAACAUAGAGGAGGCAAGCUCACUGCCUUCAGGGCUAGGUCUGGAAGUGAUACGGCCACGUCUCUUCAAUUCUAUUGGUUGAUACUGCAAUAAAGAUACUGAGAGAACGGAACGCGAUGUAACAGUUGGUAUAACCCUUCACCGAACUAUUAGCUCUAUUAAGGGAAGAGAAAAUGUCUGCCUUAUUCAUCCUAUUAACUCUAUCACCU